rnacentral:lncRNA from 1 species
AUUGAAUAUCUUCAUCCCAAAGCUCCUCAAAAGAUUUGUAUGGACCUUCAUCGGAAAUGAAUUCAAUACCAGGAAAUCCUUUACGUUGUGGAAGUGCAUCGAUCAUCUCUAAUUCUUCUUGGCUUAAUUGCCAGUCAAAAAUGUCAAGGUUUUCUUUCAUUCUCUCCUUGUUGAAGCUCUUCACUAAUACAACUACCCCUUGCUCAUAUGCCCAUCUUAGACACACCUUCAAAUUCAUAAAAAGUAGACAAAAACUUUGUUACAUUAUGUUUCUAAUUAGGGGUGUGAAAAUGGACGGUCUGAUUCAAAAUCGAAAUUAGUUUCUUUUUUGUUAAUCGAAUCGCAUCGAAAUAAGUUCGAAAAUCAAAUUGAACUUAUUGGUUGAAAUCAAUUUAGUCAUAUUGUUUGAUUUUACUCAAAAAUGACUGUUUUAUAAUAAUCGGUGUAAAGACCGAAUUUUUUGUAAUAUAACAAAUUAAAAAUUGAAAUCAAAAAACCAAAAAUAAUUCUGUUUUUUUUUUCCUCCAAAGUUUGCUCACCGAAUUUUCAAUUCUCUUGUUGUUUUUGCAUUUGUCAUUGUUGGCCUUUAUACAUUGAAUAUGGUCAAGUUGAAAGGACCUUAUUAUGCCAUAUAUUGCGUUUCAAGCCCAAGUUGAUCACUGAUCAGUGAUGAAGUUUACAAUUAUGAGCAUAAAAUUAACUGUAAAAUAUAACCCAUCCUUAAGUAUAUUCAAAUUAACACUUAAAUCUCUUUAUUUUUGAAAAAUAAUUAUAACAUUUCUAAUUUAUAUAUUCGUCUUAUAAUUGGGUCCUUCAAUCUAAAAAGUGAACUCUAUACAGUUAAUUAGACACACUUUUUAGUCGGAUUAUGGGUAGUCUUUACAUGGAAAUAGUUCACUUUUUGAAUGGAAGAAUCUGGCUAUGAGAUAAAUCAUAAAUCAAAAACAUCAUAAUUAUUUCUCAAAUAUAAAGGGACUUAAAUGUUAGUUUAAAUAUAAUUUAGAAACCUAAUUAUAUUUUAUCCCAAAAUUAAUAUACCUGGGCAAGAGUUUUUCCUUUUGCCUUCGCAAUCUCUUGUAGCAACUCACAGUCCAUGACUAAGUUUGUACCCCAUAAGGUUCCUUUGGCUCCCAAAGGAGAGUAUACGCUUACUGGUAUACCCUUUUUCUCGCAGAAAUCUCUGAGCUUCUUUUGCUGCCAAAGUGGAUUCAUCUCCACCUUCAUCAUCACCAAAAAACCCAUUUAGUAUCAUCAUUUUUAUUGUCAAAUAAAGAAUAAAAAUCUUUUUUUUUUCAACUACUGGUAUCCGAACUCUAUUAUUAGGGAUCGCCUAAUCUGGUUCGAGGUUUAGUUACAGUCAAGGCUUCUCGCCCCUCUCUGCAGGUGCAAUUAGUAGGAAUCGAACUUGAGAGCUCUUCCCACAUGUCCAGCCAACAGAACCACAAUCCGUAGGUAAAACACAAAUCAUUUUAGAUUGCCAAUAAACUUUAACUUAAUAGAUUGUAUCUUACGAUCUCUCCGUUCACAAAUAAGUGUCAUAUUUGCGAAAAUAUUGUGUCUACAAAUAAACAUCACAUCUGUGGAUUUAGAAAUACUAAAUUUUAUUCCGUGUUUAUCUUUUACAAAUUACGAAUAUUAAUUAUUAUAAUUUCCAAAAAUCUUUCUCUCUUUAUUGUAAAUAAGGGUAAUAUAACUUUUUUAUGAGAUGAGAAAAGUGGAAAUGUAACAGUUAUUUAUAAACGGAGGGAGUACAAGAUGACUUCCAGCAACAAAGAAGGAUUUAAGAUCAAAAUUUUAACAAAAACUGUAAAAAGAUUUAUAUUUUACAAUAAAGGCAUAAAACUCUCUCAUUAAACCAACAAAUUUUUGAUUAUCAAUUAAAAAAAUUAUCAAAGUAUUUUUUACAGCAUUUAUUGGGAAGAGAUGGAUGGACUUAUCCACUGUCUAAGUUUAUGUAAAAGGUGACACGGAUCUACCACAUGAGUUGUAAAUGAUCAUAUACACCCUAUUUUGUUACAUUAAUUGUAAAUGACUAUAUAUAUCCUACCUACAUUAUAAUUAUCAUUUUAUUAUUAUACUCACUAAGUCCUACAAAUAUAAAAUCCCAAUUUUUUUCACACACUUUAAAAAUCAUUACUUAAAUUACUUUAAUUAAUUAUAAUUUCAGAAUUAAUUCUUUUAAUUAUAUUAUUAUACACACGGACUAUUAUAUAAGAGUAUUUCGAAAAUAUAAAAGUGACUAUUAUUUUGAAAUAUCCAUAAAAGAAUAGUAAAUAUAACUUGAGACGGAUGAAGUAAUUAUUUUAUUUAUUGAUAUAGCUAAUUAUUACUAUUGGGUAGUCCAUAUCAGGUGAUGAACUAAAUUACUUUCAAAGAGUUGAGAAAGUCAAGUGACUCUUUACUUAUGUUAGAAUGUAACCGUAAAUUUUAAAUAUUAGAAUGAUGUCCGAAAACUCUCGCAAAUUAAGUUGAAAAAAAAAUAAUAAAAUUAGCUAAUUGACGAACUCACCUGAUUAACAGCAGGAGGAAUCUUUGCUGUGCCCAACAGAAUCUCAAGUUUCUUGCAAGAAAAAUUGCUUACUCCAAUGGAUUUUGCCAAGCCAAGCUUUUGACACUCUUCCAUAGCUUCCCAUACAGACUUAAAAUCCAUUGGAAGAAGAUCCUUUUUCUUCACUGGUAGCUCAUAUUCACCUGGCUUCAAGCUCACUGGCCAGUGUAUCAAGUACAAAUCAAUGUACUCCAAUUUAAGGUUCCUGCAUAAGUUUAAUAAAUAUUAAAUACUACUUAUCGGAUUUCAAAUUUACAAGGUAUAAUAAUAUAUUAAUGACCAAAAAAGAAUUAAAAUUUAUAUUAUGUAGUAUUUACCUGAGAGUAUUUUGUAGAGCAGGCAGAACACGAUUAUAAUGAGCAUCACAGCACCAAAGCUUAGAAGUGAGUAUUUUCUAGAGCAGGAAGGACACGAUGAUAAUGAGCAUCACUGCACCAAAGCUUGGAAGUGAUAAAGAAUUCGUCUCGGGAUUUUACAAUUCCAAGCUGUAGAGAUUCUGAUAUUGCUUCACCUAAAGGUUGUUCAGAUCGGUAAAGAGAAGCAGAAUCAAAGUGUCUAUAACCUAAUUUUAUUGCAUGGAGAAUCGAGUCUUUCAUGGUUUCAAUGGAAGCAGAGAAAGGAUAUUCAGCUGUUCCUAAACCUACAAGAGGGAUUGGAUAAUUACUUGAUAAUGUUUUCUCUGGAAUUUUAAUACUCUCCAUUUUUUCUUUAGUUUAGCAUCAUCUCCAAGUGUUCCUACAUAUAACAACUCAAUAAUAUCUUCCAAGGGAAGGACUUACGUCAACAAUAGAUAUGCCCACGACAUGUCAUGGAGAGCCAUACUUUUGCUGAGCGUUACUCAAAUGAAAGCCCAUACAAGUUCCCUCUUUGAGCUCCGGGAUGGAGAAUUUUAAUACUGAUGAUUUUAGAACAAUAAAAUAAUUUGAAGCGUAAAAUUCAUUUAUAAACGAUGUGGUCUUCCUCGCUUCUGCGGAUAUUUUUAUAUUUUUAUUUGAGUUGUAAUAUAUAUAUAUAUAUAUAUAUAUAAAGAGAAAGAGAAUGAGGAGAAAAAAGAAAGAGAAAAAUAAAAGAGUUUCAUGCAUCUCAUCUUUAAAUCAUGUGAAAUUUAUUUUAUUUGUUGCAAAUAAACAUUUAAUAAAAUUGAUUUACAAAUGAAUUUGUAUAUUUAGUAUCCUAAAUAUUAAACUUAAACUUAUUUAAGAAGUUAAUUAAUUUACAGUUGUAUCAAAUUUGUAUUCUUACUAAUUUAAAAUUCAUUUAUAAAUUAUUCAAAUUUCAUAUAAAUAUAAUUAACCUAUCAUAAAUAAUGAGAAAAUUUGAAAUAAAAUUUCAUUCAUGACUUCCAAACAUAUUCAGUAAAAUAAAAUGAAAUUCAUUCAUACAUAACCCUCAACAGUAAUAAAUAUUAAAACAUAAACAGGAGAUAUAAAUAAAUUUAAGAAAAUUGAAUAUCUUCAUCCCAAAGCUCCUCAAAAGAUUUGUAUGGACCUUCAUCGGAAAUGAAUUCAAUACCAGGAAAUCCUUUACGUUGUGGAAGUGCAUCGAUCAUCUCUAAUUCUUCUUGGCUUAAUUGCCAGUCAAAAAUGUCAAGGUUUUCUUUCAUUCUCUCCUUGUUGAAGCUCUUCACUAAUACAACUACCCCUUGCUCAUAUGCCCAUCUUAGACACACCUUCAAAUUCAUAAAAAGUAGACAAAAACUUUGUUACAUUAUGUUUCUAAUUAGGGGUGUGAAAAUGGACGGUCUGAUUCAAAAUCGAAAUUAGUUUCUUUUUUGUUAAUCGAAUCGCAUCGAAAUAAGUUCGAAAAUCAAAUUGAACUUAUUGGUUGAAAUCAAUUUAGUCAUAUUGUUUGAUUUUACUCAAAAAUGACUGUUUUAUAAUAAUCGGUGUAAAGACCGAAUUUUUUGUAAUAUAACAAAUUAAAAAUUGAAAUCAAAAAACCAAAAAUAAUUCUGUUUUUUUUUUCCUCCAAAGUUUGCUCACCGAAUUUUCAAUUCUCUUGUUGUUUUUGCAUUUGUCAUUGUUGGCCUUUAUACAUUGAAUAUGGUCAAGUUGAAAGGACCUUAUUAUGCCAUAUAUUGCGUUUCAAGCCCAAGUUGAUCACUGAUCAGUGAUGAAGUUUACAAUUAUGAGCAUAAAAUUAACUGUAAAAUAUAACCCAUCCUUAAGUAUAUUCAAAUUAACACUUAAAUCUCUUUAUUUUUGAAAAAUAAUUAUAACAUUUCUAAUUUAUAUAUUCGUCUUAUAAUUGGGUCCUUCAAUCUAAAAAGUGAACUCUAUACAGUUAAUUAGACACACUUUUUAGUCGGAUUAUGGGUAGUCUUUACAUGGAAAUAGUUCACUUUUUGAAUGGAAGAAUCUGGCUAUGAGAUAAAUCAUAAAUCAAAAACAUCAUAAUUAUUUCUCAAAUAUAAAGGGACUUAAAUGUUAGUUUAAAUAUAAUUUAGAAACCUAAUUAUAUUUUAUCCCAAAAUUAAUAUACCUG